UCCAAUUAAUUAAAAUCCGAGCCACUACGCAUUCUUUCGAUGAUUAACGUUUUUUAUUAUCUUAACUCAAAUUCUUCUUCACACCAUAAUUUUCCAGUCUAGCCGCCGCCCUAACGUAUUUUCUAUGGGAGUACUAUACUUGAGGAACCAAAGUAAAUAUCUUCUUUUGAAGGAACAAAAAUAAAAUCAAUACUUGAGCUUCUAUAGCUAAUUGACAAGGCAUACCACUUUAAAGCCAGGGAAAAAAAAAGGAACAAGUUCCAUUGGAGUACGCUUCUUAUUAUAACGAGUUAGCUCUGUCUUCUCACCAAUUUGCUGAUUUUAUGUUUCAGAGCUUUCAACAAUGUGCAGGAAAAAGUGACAAAUCAGACUAUUAUUUUCAAGUUAGAGGAUAUUAAUACAUGUGGAAUGGACCCAACAUCUGCAAGAUAAAUCAGGUUACGUUCCAAUUAUAAAAAUUAUUAAGUUAAAUAAAAUCAUACAAGUUUUAGAAUAUAGUAUGUUGCUACGAAAAAAAAUCUCAUAGUGGUACAAAUGUGAAGAAGUGUAAAACCUUACAAACAGUUCUCAACAAAUGUUCUGAAAACAAAAUGCAAUGGUUGUUACAAUGUUCACCCAAGAUACAAAUCAACUUCCCACCACAAAAAUGAAACGAAUCGAAGGACAGAGCUGUUUGAAGUUGCAUGAGGUGGAUAGCUAGGUGUUUGAGUAGCAGGAGGUGGAUAGUGUUUGAGUAGCAAGAGGUGGAGAUGUAUUCGAAAUAGCAUUGCAAGACUGUUUAGUGGAGAAAUUUGAUUUCGUAUGGUAUUGUUCGGUUAUUAUCUUCAAGUUCAUAUCCAUGUGGCGAGAAUUAGACUAACUCUUAACAAGAAAUCUUUCACAUUAGACUAGGCCACAAAUCUUUCACAUUAGAAUGCUUUCGUAGGUUAAUUAAUUUACUUUGUAUAGACGAUAUAUAAUGAAAAUAUAUAUUUACUUUCUUACU